CAGCCGCCGCGGUAAUACGGAGGGUGCAAGCGUUAAUCGGAAUUACUGGGCGUAAAGCGCACGCAGGCGGUCUGUCAAGUCAGAUGUGAAAUCCCCGGGCUUAACCUGGGAACUGCAUUUGAAACUGGCAGGCUAGAGUCUUGUAGAGGGGGGUAGAAUUCCAGGUGUAGCGGUGAAAUGCGUAGAGAUCUGGAGGAAUACCGGUGGCGAAGGCGGCCCCCUGGACAAAGACUGACGCUCAGGUGCGAAGGCGUGGGGAGCAAACAGGGUUAGAUACCCCAGUAGUCCCUGUCUCUUAUAC
rnacentral:rRNA from 1 species